rnacentral:lncRNA from 1 species
AUGAAGAUAGAAGGGCUGCAAAACACAAUAUACAUGAUGGAAGCUGAAAAUGAAGAAUUGAAAUGUGAAAUAAAUGAUUUCCAAGUAUUCAAGGAUGAGGCUCAAACCCGUCAAAAUGAACUGCGGAUGCAACUGUCAGAAGCAGAGGAGAAGAUUAUCUGUAGAGACAGAGUAUUAGAAUGUGCAAAAGAAGAAAACGACGUACAAGGGCUCAAGAUCACUUCUCUGAAAAUUCAGAACAACAGGUUAGAGCAUGCAUUGAAAAGACACGAGAAACAUGAUCUUAUAGUCAGAAAACUGGAAUGCACUAUUAAAAAGAAGGAUGAAGAUAUAAAGUCUGUGCAAAAGGAGCUGAAAAAGAAUGAAUCAGAGCUUAAUAAACUGAGGAGCUCUUUUACACUCAAGGUCCACCAAAAUAAAAGCCUCCAGGAAGAUCUGCACACUACAAGGAAGACGUUAGAUGAGAAGUGCCAAGAAACCAGAAGACUGAGUCUUGUCAUUGAAGAGCUGGAAACACAAAAUGCCAAAAUAGUUAAACAGUAUGACGCACUCAAAUCGAAAGAAACACUAAAGGAAAAAGGAGCUCAAGACAAAGACACAUUGAUAAGAGACUUAAAGUUUCUUGUUACCAAACUAGAAAGCGAGCUUAGCCAGCAGAUAGUGAAGACUGAAAAGGUCGACAAAGCUAAAGACGGCGUCAAAGCUAACCUGGUAAUUCUUCAGUCAGAACUCAAAACUCUUCAGUCAGAACACAAAACUCUUCAGUCAGAACACAACAAAGCUAAUGUGGCUAAAGAUAAACUGAAUAAACAGCUCAGACUCUUAGACAGUGCCAACAAACGCUUAAGUUCUCAACUGGAGCAAAACAAGAAAGCACAUGAAAACACAGUGCAUGAACUGCAGAGAGUGAAGCAGUGCUUGCAGCAGAAUGAGCAAAAGCUUUCAGAGGAGAAACAGUUGGCCGCUUCUUAUCUGAGUGGCAAGGAGGCAGCAGAGCAAGCCCUUGCCAAAGCAGAUGAUGAGAAGGAAAAGUUGAGCAGAGUCAUAGAGAGAUUCAAGCAGCGGAAGAAGGCUAGCCAGAAAGAUGUGGCUGAAAAAGAGCAGAAGAUCAAAGAUCAAAUGCUCCACAUCGAGUCUCUCCUUAAGCAGCAAAUAGAUCAGAAAAAACAUAUGGACCUGUUGGAACAUAACCUAGAGAUGCAGAGUUCAGACAAAGACACCAGUCAAAGCAAUGAUGUCUUUUGGCGUCAGGAGCUGGAACAAGCUAAACAAAUGUUACAGGAACGGAUGGCGAGUAUGAAAGAAAAAGAUGAACUCCUCGACAAACUGAAGCAGGAGCUGUCUGGUGUAAAACAGGAGCUCAAUAAAAGAUGGCAGACUGGCAGUGAACUCAACAAUAAGAUCAUGUCACUGAAGGGACAACUUUAUGCAAGUGAGGGCACUCGCCGGAUGCUGAAAGAGGAAAAACAUAACCUGUCAGAUGAGGCGAGAAUGUUUAAACUGGAGCUUAGCAACUGCAAACGGCAACUAGAUCAGACCAAGAGGGACUUCUUUAACUACAAGGAGAAGUAUGCACCACAGAACCAAGUAGUGCUUAACUCCUCCGAGGUAAAAGAAGAGGAGGAGAAGACAACCCACUUCCCUUUCCUCAAGUAA